rnacentral:rRNA from 1 species
GGCUUAACACAUACAAGUCGAGGGGCAGCAUGGUCUUAGCUUGCUAAGGCUGAUGGCGACCGGCGCACGGGUGAGUAACACGUAUCCAACCUGCCGUCUACUCUUGGCCAGCCUUCUGAAAGGAAGAUUAAUCCAGGAUGGGAUCAUGAGUUCACAUGUCCGCAUGAUUAAAGGUAUUUUCCGGUAGACGAUGGGGAUGCGUUCCAUUAGGUAGUAGGCGGGGUAACGGCCCACCUAGCCAACGAUGGAUAGGGGUUCUGAGAGGAAGGUCCCCCACAUUGGAACUGAGACACGGUCCAAACUCCUACGGGAGGCAGCAGUGAGGAAUAUUGGUCAAUGGGCGAGAGCCUGAACCAGCCAAGUAGCGUGAAGGAUGACGG